rnacentral:rRNA from 1 species
GUACACUCCUACGGGAGGCAGCAGUGGGGAAUUUUGGACAAUGGGCGAAAGCCUGAUCCAGCAAUGCCGCGUGAGUGACGAAGGCCUUCGGGUUGUAAAGCUCUUUUGUCAGGGAAGAAACGGUGAAAGCUAAUAUCUUUUGCUAAUGACGGUACCUGAAGAAUAAGCACCGGCUAACUACGUGCCAGCAGCCGCGGUCAUACGUAGGGUGCAAGCGUUAAUCGGAAUUACUGGGCGUAACGCGUGCGCAGGCGGUUUUGUAAGUCUGAUGUGAAAUCCCCGGGCUCAACCUGGGAAUUGCAUUGGAGACUGCAAGGCUAGAAUCUGGCAGAGGGGGGUAGAAUUCCACGUGUAGCAGUGAAAUGCGUAGAUAUGUGGAGGAACACCGAUGGCGAAGGCAGCCCCCUGGGUCAAGAUUGACGCUCAUGCACGAAAGCGUGGGGAGCAAACAGGAUUAGAUACCCCGGUAGUCCC